CUACAUUUACAGGAGCUGUUCCCUGCAGAUUUUGUAUCUCAUUCAUCUCCAAAUUGCAGAGCCGAGACAAUGAAUUGUGAGGGAAAACAAAUCAGGAUUCCAGAAUUUGAAUCUUUAUGAGAAACUUAAUAUGGUUUAAUCCAAGCUUCACAGUUUGUUCCAUGGACAGUAACAGUUUGAGGGUGAAGCUGCUUGCCGGUUGACUGGGUAAUGUAACCAUCCUGUCUCUGUUGAGCUGCUGCUUGGAAUUGCGCAUUAAAGAGUAGCAAUCCAAGUCGUGCUUUCAACUUUCCAUUCUCAACUUUGAACCGUUGAAUUUCCUCUUUCAAGCGAUGUAAUAAGAGGUGGGCAGUAAGAGUUUGAAGUCUCUGAUUGGAUGGAGUUAGAUUAUUUAUUUAUUGACAUAUUUGCUUAAGGUGGUCUCGUAGUUGAAAAACUUCAAUGGCUCGACAACUCCCGACCCGUAAGUCAAGGAACAAUCACGCCCGUAGAAGACGUCCGAAUUUGUAAAAGCUUACAAUGUUUUAUUUUGGGUAAACUUUCCUUAUAGUCACCCAAAUUUUAAGGUAUUUUUGUAUUGGUCACAAAAAAAAUUUAUUAUUAUUUUAGUCACUCCCAUUAGAUCAAUUACAAUUUAUAGUCAUCCUACUAUUAAAAUACCUUUGAUCUCCAAAUGAAAUAUUGGAAUAAUAACAAAUUUAGUCUUUAACAUUCA